UAAGGAUGAUAUCUUUCUUAUGAAACAUCUUGUAGCUCUUCAAUUCAUUGGACUCUAAUUCAUAGUUGUAAGUUUAAAAUCCUUGAGGUAGAAGAAGCUCAGGUUUUAAGGGCCCUUGCCUUCUUUCCCAAAAUCUCAGUUUUCAUUUUCACACCCUUCUUUGCCUUUCACUGAUGAAACCACCUUUUUUUUUAUAUUAUUUUUUUUACUUUUCACUUGCAAUUAAUACAGGGAAAUAUUCUUUAUCGAUUUCCAUCACUACAACGUACAGCUUCUCCUCAGAGGAGUGGAAGGAAGGAAUAUCUUUUCAGUAUUGUUGUCCAUUGCGAGAGUCCGGAAGUUUAGUGAGUGUUCAAUCGGAAUUUUGAAGACAACAAUAACUACAUCAUACCGUGAUUACAGUUUUUCCAAGGUUUGUAAUUGGCUACCGGAUGACUUGAAGGAAGAAUAUGUGCAUAGUGUGAAAGUAGUGGAGAAGGCGGUGUUGAGAGCUGUAAUUUUUCCUUGUUUUUCCAUUCUGUUCAUUUGAAAUCAUCUGUGCCAUGGCAGACAUGAAGAUGUGAAUAAGAUAUAUGUUCUUAUUGCUAAA